UGAAAAUGGAUCUGGACCUUUAAAUAUUUUUUUCCCGGGCUAGCUAGCACUGAAAUCUUGCCAGUAGAGGGUGAUAGAGAGACACGGGAGAAGGAGAAGAGGUUGACUUGCCUCUGGGUUCCAGGGUGCUCACUGGGUGGUUCCCCCAGUGCCCCGCUCCUACAGUGACUGCAGCCAGCAGCACCCAGGAGACGGAACCUCCCCGCCCAGCCCGGCGCCCGCCAGCCCUGGUGCCGUUUUUAUAGCAGCAUGCCUCUAGCAAUCAAGACACCUGGCACCUCGGAGGGCCGACUUCCAGAAGGAUUUGCCACAGGGCACCACAACAACUUCUCUGCCAUUCAGAGUCACAGCUGCACAGACUGAUACAAGUAUGGACCCCCUAGAAGGAACAACAAAUGGAGCUGCCGUCUAUAUACACACGUCGAUUUAGGUCUCUGUCUCUGGCAACUGAAAAGAGACCCAACAAAACAUCUUACAGAGCACCAGGGCCAAUUCUUGAUGCGUCGUUAGAUUCUGUGUAGCCAGAAAGCAGAAACAGAAACAUAUCCAAGCCAGGCGGAGGAAAAACUUUGAGGCCUGUUUAUCCAGGUUCAAGACAAUUUCUAUUUAAAAAAAAAAAAAAGAAAAAAAGAGAGAAAAAAAAAGCUCAUAACAGAAUAAGUUCAGCUUCUCCUGAGUGUCAGAGCUAAGAUCUAACGCCUCUGCUGGUUUCCAUGACAACCACCAGCAGCUACAAUCAUGCCGAACCAAGAACCAGAGGAUUCAGUAACUUUACCUUGAUUCUGUGGCCAGAUUAUUGCCAAUUUUAAAAGGAAAUGCAUAGUGAGCCCCUGUCUCUGUUGUGUCUUCAGUUGUCCCUUGAAAUCUGGAUAUCUUGACAAGAGGCCAGGGCCUAUCCUAUCUCAUCUCCCCAAGCUAGUGUCCUUCCCAGAUGAAUUUCUUCUGGCGCUGGCUCUGUGGCAGGCUCAUGUCGUUUUUUCCCCAAAGAAGAGAUUCCAGAGACGAGGCCUUCACUGAGAGCUUGCUCCUCUACCUCCUGUGGGUUUCAGGGCUGGGACGGGGGACACAGAGAAUCUGUCUCUCGCGAAUGCCAAGUUGAGGUCCUAGCCUGGCUAGGAACUCUUGCAUUCCCCUUGCCUCGCUGUAGCCUCCCCUGGGAACAGACCUUCCAGGAGGGUCGCACCGAGUGAUGAGACUGUUGCAUGAGGCUCUGCAGUGCUUGGACACAGAACUGCACUGCGGCCUUCCAGAUGCUCAGCUGGAAAACCCCUGAGAACCUGAGGCUUUUCUACAGCACAUUAGAGCUUAUGACUGGAGAGUGUCUACCGCCUGAGGGCAGGGAUGAGAUUUUACCUAUCCUAUUCACCUGCUUAGGUGCCCACUUCAUCCUAGACUCCCUUCUUUUCCCUCCCUCCCUUCCUCCCUCC
rnacentral:lncRNA from 10 species